GCGGCCCUCCCCAGGUGUCUGAGCAGAGCUGCUGAAGCUGCAGAAAUGUGCUGGCGCCUGUCCACCGCCGCACACAAAACCCAGCCAAAAGCGGCGAGAGGAAAAGCGAAUAUGGCGCUGCUGAAAAUGGAGACUCCGCAUCUAGAAAGUCUUUCUUUCCUUUCCUCUUUUCGCUCUUACUUCGUCGAUCUUUUCCCCCUUGCCCUCUCACGAGGGCCUCCUGCGCUUUCCUUCGGGUGUUCUCUACCCCUCGGCCCCUUUCCUGUUCUUAUGAAUAACCUCCUUUACUCGGUUUUCCUUCUUCCUUUCCACUCCCGGUUCCUCUUUCUCCAUUUUGUGUCACAGGCGCCUUGCUUCUUGUUCCCUUUCAGGGCGCGCACUCCCCCGCCCGGCUCACUUUAUUUUGUGUGUGGGUGGCGGAGCAGGGAGGGGGUGGCAAGGAUCGUGAGGCUAAGUAUCGAGUUUGUUUGUUUGUUUUUCUUUCUUUCUUCUUCUUCUUUUUAAAGGUGUUAUCUUAGGAGCCAAGCAUCUCCUUUGGUCCUGCGCUCCUUCGCCUAGCGCCUGGUGCCCCCCACCCGGCUGCAUCCGAGGCUUGCGCGGCCCGGUCCCAUCAGCCGAGCGUCGCCCGCCCAGGAGGAGGCUCGGGUUCUCCGCAGAAGCGAAUACUUUCUCUUUUUGUUUUAAGUUAGAACCUUGCUUUUGCAGUGAUUCGUUGCUGUGGCGUGAUUUUAAACAGGUCGAAAAGCAUCAUGAAGCCAAGUGGUUAUUGUUUUGCUUAUUCAGUGUGAACUGAGUGAGCCAGGUUUGUAUACCAAGUGAUUCUCGUGGUGGACAAUACCAAUAUGAUUAUGCCAAAUGCAUUGCUUCUGAGGCAUCACUCUUUGGGCACAUAUAGACCCUGCUGAUUUCUGCCAAAGCACUCUUCUUAAAGUUCCAAAACAUUACCCCAAAACCUCUAUAGCCCCCUAUUGCCAACAAAAUUAAAGCCUUUCUCUUCAUUGGCAUUAGAAGCCCCUGUAACCCAUUGCUUUUCCAUUUCCAGCCUCUUUCCAAAAUUACCAAACAAACUCUGUAUCCUGCAGCCACCAAACUGUACUAGUUGUAAUAUAUUCACUAAGAACAGUGGUCUCUCAUUUGUCUCUCUUUUCUCUCUUCUUAUAUCAGUUAGAAUGUAACAGACAACCCAGCUAACACAGAGGCUCAUUUUUCUUAUGUGACAAGAAGUCUGUAGAUAAAGAGUUGCUAGUGUUUUCUUGGGGGUUCAGUGAUAUCACCUCUGUGAUUCAGUUGACCUUCAUAUCAUAGUUGCAAAAUGGCUGCCGUAAGUACAAAAACCACACUGACUGCUGGGUGGGAAGGCAACAGAAAAUUUGUUCUUGGUGAGUCUUACUCACGUCAAGGAAGUAUAAUAUUUUCCAAAAUGCCCCACCAAAGGAUUUCC
rnacentral:lncRNA from 1 species